AAUCAGCAAAUAUACUGCCCUA
rnacentral:ncRNA from 2 species